GAUGAACGCUGGCGGCGUGCCUAAUACAUGCAAGUCGAGCGAACAGAUGAGGAGCUUGCUCCUCUGACGUUAGCGGCGGACGGGUGAGUAACACGUGGAUAACCUACCUAUAAGACUGGGAUAACUUCGGGAAACCGGAGCUAAUACCGGAUAAUAUAUUGAACCGCAUGGUUCAAUAGUGAAAGACGGUUUUGCUGUCACUUAUAGAUGGAUCCGCGCCGCAUUAGCUAGUUGGUAAGGUAACGACUUACCAAGGCAACGAUGCGUAGCCGACCUGAGAGGGUGAUCGGCCACACUGGAACUGAGACACGGUCCAGACUCCUACGGGAGGCAGCAGUAGGGAAUCUUCCGCAAUGGGCGAAAGCCUGACGGAGCAACGCCGCGUGAGUGAUGAAGGUCUUCGGAUCGUAAAACUCUGUUAUUAGGGAAGAACAAAUGUGUAAGUAACUAUGCACGUCUUGACGGUACCUAAUCAGAAAGCCACGGCUAACUACGUG
rnacentral:rRNA from 1 species